rnacentral:misc_RNA from 1 species
AGCAGCCGCGGUAAUUCCAGCUCCAAUAGCGUAUAUUAAAGUUGUUGCAGUUAAAAAGCUCGUAGUUGAAUUUCGGGAUUGACACAUCGGUCGUGCCUUAAGGGGUAUGAACUGGUGUAGUCAAUUUCUCACCUUCUGGAGAACCGCGAUGCCCUUAAUUGGGUGUCGCGGGGAACCAGGACCUUUACUUUGAAAAAAUUGAGUGUUUAAAGCAGGCAUUUUGCUUGAAUACAUUAGCAUGGAAUAAUAAAAUAGGACGGCAUGAUUCUAUUUUGUUGGUUUCUAGGAUCACCGUAAUGAUUAAUAGGGAUAGUUGGGGGCAUUAGUAUUCAAUUGUCAGAGGUGAAAUUCUUGGAUUUAUUGAAGACUAACUACUGCGAAAGCAUUUGCCAAGGAUGUUUUCAUUAAUCAAGAACGAAAGUUAGGGGAUCGAAGACGAUCAGAUACCGUCGUAGUUUUAACCAUAACUAUGCCGACUAGGGAUCGGAUGAUGUUAAUUUUUUAAUGUACUCAUUCGGCG